AACGUAGGAGGCAAGCGUUAUCCGGAGUUACUGGGCGUAAAGCGCAUGUAGGCGGUUAUACAAGUUGGUUGUGAAAGCUCCUGGCUAAACUGGGAGAGGCCGAUCAAGACUGUAUAGCUUGAGAGUGUUAGAGGGGCGCAGAAUUCGGGGUGGAGCGGUGAAAUGCAUUGAGAUCGGAAAGAACACCAACGGCGAAAGCACUCUGCUGGGCCGACACUGACACUGAGAGACGAAAGCUAGGGGAGCGAAUGGG
rnacentral:rRNA from 1 species